GACGAACGCUGGCGGCGUGCUUAACACAUGCAAGUCGAACGGAAAGGCCCUGCUUUUGUGGAGUGCUCGAGUGGCGAACGGGUGAGUAACACGUGAGUAACCUGCCCUUGACUUUGGGAUAACUUCAGGAAACUGGGGCUAAUACCGGAUAGGAGCUCCUGCUGCAUGGUGGGGGUUGGAAAGUUUCGGCGGUUGGGGAUGGACUCGCGGCUUAUCAGCUUGUUGGUGGGGUAGUGGCUUACCAAGGCUUUGACGGGUAGCCGGCCUGAGAGGGUGACCGGCCACAUUGGGACUGAGAUACGGCCCAGACUCCUACGGGAGGCAGCAGUGGGGAAUAUUGCACAAUGGGCGGAAGCCUGAUGCAGCAACGCCGCAUGCGGGAUGACGGCCUUCGGGUUGUAAACCGCUUUCGCCUGCGACGAAGCGUGAGUGACGGUAAUGGGUAAAGAAGCACCGGCUAACUACGUG
rnacentral:rRNA from 1 species